UGCCAAACUUGGGGGAGUUCGACCUACCCCGACUUCGCAAAAUGAAUUCAGAGGAUAAUGGCGGUGCCCAUUGAGUCUCGUGUCAUGAGAGAGUCCAGACUAGUCUUACAACCGGGUGUACACCCAGCUGGUGCCACUGGCCCCUGUUUCUGAGGGCUAGGAGGACUGUUGGGCAUUCCUUUAUCAUGGUGGUCCUUGUUUGUCUGGGAGUGAUACAUGUUUUAAAAGGGAAACCUGCUGAAACUGCCACUAUUCAGCUACAAGACUGCCCAGAUCAUUGUGCAACUACACAGUUGUUUAUAGGAGAUGCUAAAUUUUCAGAUCAGGAGAAGAGGGCUGUCAUGGGACCUCCAAGGUCCUCCAAGAUCAAUUGGUCAGAUUAAACAAUAAUGUUAAAAAGACACAGAAGUUUGGUUGCUGUUGCAACAACAUCCAGAUGUCCAUUUGAUCUUCCCCAGAAACCCAGAAGCUGAUUGCUGUGCUCAGGUUUUAUUACCCACAUCUUAUUUGGUAUUUAAUAGAAUUAAAUUCAUUUUUUUAUUUUUUUUAUGUGCAUGCGCACAUUGAUGCAUAUGGGUCUUAAAUAUAAUGCAUAAAUAUAUCUCCAUGAACGCCACCUGGAUGACAGUCGCUUUCAGUGGUACUUGAGGAUGACGGCUGCAGUUUUGAUAGCCUGCUAGCUUUGACCGAUGUCAGGAUUGCUCAUAUGAACACUAUAAAGUCCGUCUCAGC